CCCUGCCAUUUGUACACACCGCCCGUCGCUACUACCGAUUGGAAGUUUUAGUGAGGCAUUUGGACCUGCUAACCACAAGCGAGGCAACUUGCUUAGGCCAGCGGGGAAGUCUGUCGAACUCAAAUUUC
rnacentral:rRNA from 1 species